rnacentral:lncRNA from 1 species
CUAGAUUCGGAUGACUCGGUAUGGUUCUUUCCAGUUCGGGGUGAGUUUUUCCUGCUCCAAAGGUCAGAAGGCUUCAGCCUUCCUCAGGACGAGGUCGCCGACCUUGAAUGAUUUAACUUUGAAUCUAGAGUUGUAGUAUUGUGCCGCUUUUUGCUGGCAUUUCGCCAUUCGAAUCUGAGCUGCUUUUCUUGUUUCUUCAAGUAGGUCCAUGUUACUCCGGAGCCGUACCAAGUUGGUUGUAGCAUCAAAGCUUUCAACCUGGGGC